UGGUAGAUGCACCCUGAUAACUAAUUCCCCCGGCGGCUGCCACCACUGGGGGAUUUUUUU
rnacentral:sRNA from 1 species